UAGGGAAUCUUCGGCAAUGGACGAAAGUCUGACCGAGCAACGCCGCGUGAGUGAAGAAGGUUUUCGGAUCGUAAAACUCUGUUGUUAGAGAAGAACAAUGACGUUAGUAACUGAACGUCCCCUGACGGUAUCUAACCAGAAAGCCACGGCUAACUACGUGCCAGCAGCCGCGGUAAUACGUAGGUGGCAAGCGUUGUCCGGAUUUAUUGGGCGUAAAGCGAGCGCAGGCGGUUUCUUAAGUCUGAUGUGAAAGCCCCCGGCUCAACCGGGGAGGGUCAUUGGAAACUGGGAGACUUGAGUGCAGAAGAGGAGAGUGGAAUUCCAUGGGUAGCGGUGAAAUGCGUAGAUAUAUGGAGGAACACCAGUGGCGAAGGCGGCUCUCUGGUCUGUAACUGACGCUGAGGCUCGAAAGCGGGGGGAGCAAACAGG
rnacentral:rRNA from 1 species